AUUUUGACUCUCAACUAAGCGAUCUUGACACAAAUGGAUGCGAUAUGUCCGCACACAAAGGGGUGUGGUGAAGCAAUGUUAAUAUGUAAUAA